rnacentral:rRNA from 1 species
GACGAACGCUGGCGGCGCGCCUAAUACAUGCAAGUCGAACGUGAAGCCGGGAGCUUGCUCCCGGUGGAAAGUGGCGAACGGGUGAGGAACACGUGAGGAACCUGCCCUGGAGACCGGGAUAACACCGGGAAACCGGUGCUAAUACCGGAUGCCCUCACCGGACCGCAUGAUCCGGUGAGGAAAUGGAUUCCGCUCCAGGAUGGUCUCGCGGCCUAUCAGCUUGUUGGUGGGGUAACGGCCCACCAAGGCUUCGACGGGUAGCUGGUCUGAGAGGAUGUCCAGCCACACUGGGACUGAGACACGGCCCAGACUCCUACGGGAGGCAGCAGUAGGGAAUCUUGCGCAAUGAGCGAAAGCUUGACGCAGCGACGCCGCGUGCGGGAUGAAGGCCCUCGGGUCGUAAACCGCUUUCAGCAGGGACGAAAUUGACGGUACCUGCAGAAGAAGCCCCGGCCAACUACGUGCCAGCAGCCGCGGUAAUACGUAGGGGGCGAGCGUUGUCCGAAUUAGUU